rnacentral:rRNA from 1 species
AUUGAACGCUGGCGGCAGGCCUAACACAUGCAAGUCGAACGCAGUGGGGACGGGUGAGUAACACGUGGGUAACCUCCCAUCAGAGGGGAUAACACUUGGAAACAGGUGCUAAACCGCUACUGAUGGAUGGACUCGCGGUGCAUUAGCUAGUUGGGGAGGUAACGGCUCACCAAGGCCACGAUGCAUAGCCGACCGGAGAGGUUGAUCAGCCACACUGGGACUGAGACACGGCCCAGACUCCUACGGGAGGCAGCAGUAGGGAAUCUUCGGCAAUGGGCGAAAGUCUGACCGAGCAAUGCCGCGUGAGUGAAGAAGGUUUUCGGAUCGUAAAACACUGUUGUUAGAGAAGCGGUAACUAACCAAAAAGCCACGGCUAACUACGUGCCAGCAGCCGCGGUAAUAC